rnacentral:rRNA from 1 species
UACGUAGGGUGCGAGCGUUAAUCGGAAUUACUGGGCGUAAAGCGUGCGCAGGCUGUUUUGUAAGUCAGAUGUGAAAUCCCCGAGCUCAACUUGGGAACUGCGUUUGAAACUACAAGACUAGAAUAUGGCAGAGGGGGGUAGAAUUCCACGUGUAGCAGUGAAAUGCGUAGAGAUGUGGAGGAAUACCAAUGGCGAAGGCAGCCCCCUGGGAUAAUAUUGACGCUCAUGCACGAAAGCGUGGGGAGCAAACAGG